AAUAGAUGACACCGUUGACUUUUUCUCACAUAUUUAACCAUUCGUCUUAUUUAAAAAAUUUACAUAAUUAUAAUUUAUUUUGUUAUAAGUUGUUUUAUCACUCAUAGUAUUUUAAGUGUGAUUUAUAUCUUAUGCAUUUACAUAAAAUUUUUAAAUAAAACGAAUGGUCAAACAUGUGAGAAAAAGUCAAUGGCGUCAUCUAUU
rnacentral:pre_miRNA from 1 species